GCCUGGUACAAUGGCAGGUGCCUGUAAUCCCAGCUACUCGGGAGGCUGAGGCAGGAGAAUCACUUGAACCCAGGGGGCAGGGGUUGCAGUGAGCCGAGAUCAUGCCACUGCAUUCCAGCCUGGGUGACAGAGUGAGAUUCUGUCUCAA
rnacentral:SRP_RNA from 1 species